rnacentral:tmRNA from 1 species
GGGGAUGCAAGGCAUAGACAGUUGGCCAUUUGUCAUUGAUGCAUGUCGAGUAUGAACGUAAUCUCGUAAAAAUUCGUUCAAUAGCUAAUUGCAAAAUCAGCUUUCACGGCAAUGCUUUCGCCUUACUUCGGUAACUCGUUAGCUCUUGCUCCAUCUUUCGCGUAAGCCUAGGGUGGUGUCUCUCUUAUAGACUUCCGAUAUAUAAGACGAGGCAUAAUAUUAUCGGGAUAAGGCGUUGCCCGCUCGAACAUACGCUCGAAAAUUUAGAGCUCGAUUAAAAAAUAUUUGGCACGUUUAAGAAUUUUUUAAUUUAAACCAAAAAGCGCGCUAAGCAUGUAGACUUCUUUACAACUACCUUCUGCACGGGGAUUCGAUUUCCCCCAUCUCCACAG